GCCAGUGAUCUCAUGGACAGCAGCCCCCUAAGGAACAUUGGAAGAGGCAAACAUGGCAAAAUCAAGAAACCACGUGGGGGACUUCUUGGAGGAGUUCAGAGAGCAGAUCAUUGCGCAGGUGAGAUUAUCUGGGCCCAUAGUAGACGCUGUGAUCUCACAACAUCUUAUCCCAGAAGAGCUGGCACACAGCGUCCGUGCAGCCCAGACCACACAAGACCAGAUGAGGGCUCUGUUUGAAGCCGUAGAGAGAGAGACACCACAAACCAAACUUGCAUUCCAUCUGAUAUUGAGACGGAAAGAGCCUGAACUCAUGGACAAGCUAGAGCAGAGACAACGAAACAGUAAGAUGACACAGACAGGAUUGGAUCAAAGGUAUGGAGAUACCACAACAUUAGAGGAUAAGACCACACCAAAACUUGGCAUACAGACAAAAAAGGAAUCUCUUAAGAGACGAAGACAAGAAACAAUGCAAGCAAUUGAGGAGAUUGAAAAACUUUGGGAGGGGUCAAGAAGGGAGAGAAAUGAAACUAACUACAUGAAAGCAAAGAUUAAGCAACAACAAGAGGAAAUAGAAAGGCUAAUGGCUGAGAAACAAGAGCAAAACACAAAGAUGGAGCUGAUGAGGAUGGAGAUCCAGAAUGUGAAUGAAAAACUGAAACAGAACAUGGAGGAAAUAAAUAUAGAGAAAGACGGAAUACGACAAAUGUGGGCUGAUGUCCAAACAGAGAAAGACAUUCUGGAGAGAAGAUACAAUGAGACCAUUAACGAGAGACAGAGUUUGGAAUUGAUCAAGUAUGAGACAUUGAGAGCAAAAGAGGAGAUGGAGCACUGCAAGGAAACAACCAAACAAGAGCAGGAGAAAAUGGAACAGAUUAAGGCUGACAUUCAGGGACAGAUAGAGGACAUGGAAAUAAGAAUUGCAGAAACCAAUCAAGUAAAAGAAAAAAUGGAAGCGAUGAAGGCCGAUGUACACAGGGAGCAAGGUCAGCUGGAGACAAAAAGAGAUGACAUUAAAAGACAAAAAGAACAGUUUGAGCAGAUUAAAUGUGAGAUAAACAAAGUAAAAGAAGAGAUGGAUCGAAGGUGGUAUGAAACGGAGAAAGAAGAGCUUGAGCAGAGAGUUAGGAUCCAGCAAGAGAAAGAGGAACUUGCCAACGUAAAAGCUGAGCUGCAGAGAGCAAAAGAGGAGGUUGAUCAAAACAGGGAGAAGACGAAGCAAGAGAAGGACCUGGUCAACAAAAUGAAAGCAGAAAUUCUUCUAGAAAAGGAUUCACUUGAGAAGGACAAACAAGAAACAUUACGAAAACAAAAGGAGUUGGAGCAGAUCAAGUAUGCGAUUCAAAUGGACAAAGAGGAGAUUGAGCAAAACAGAGAGGAAGCAAAGCGAGAGAAUGAUAAGAUGGAACAGAGGGAAGCUGAACUGCAGAGACAAGUGGAAAAGAUUGAGAGAAACAUUGAGGAGACAAAGCAAGAAAAUUACAGAAUGGAAAACGUAAAAGCAGAGAUACAGAGAACGAAAGAAGCCCUGGAGAAACAAAAAGAUGACACCAGGCGAGUGAAGGAGGAAAUGGAGAAAAGAAGGUAUGAGACUGUCAAGGAGGAGCUGGAGCAGAGAGCUGAAAUACAGAGACAGAGAGAAGAAGUGGAAAUGCUCAAGUCUGAAAUGCAGAAAGCCAAGGACGUUGAAAAAACAAGAGGAAACCGAGAGAGAGAGGAAGCCAAAAAGUGGAGUGAAGAAGUAAAACGACAGAGAGAUGGGAUCAAACAAUUGAGAGCUGAAGUUCAGAAGGAAAAAGACAACGUGGAGAGGAAAAAGCAAGAGACAAUGAGAGAGAGACAAGAAUUGGAGAGGAUUCAUUUUGAAACGCUGAGAAUGAAAGAGGAGAAUGAGCAAAGCAGGGAGAUCACAAGAAGAGAAAAGGAGCAAAUGGAGCAGAUGAAAGUUAAUAUACAGAGACAGAUAGAAGAUAUAGAAGAAAAAGUUACAGAGACAAAACAAGCAAAAGACAAAAUGGAAGAAAUGAAAGCAGAGAUACAGAGACAACGUGAAGAUUUGGAGAGUAGAAGGGAAAAGACAGAGAAAGAGAGAGCGCAUUAUGAAGAGGUUAAGUGUGAGAUAAUUCAAUUGAAAGAGGAAAUGGAAAGGAAAUGGUGUGAAACAGAGAAAGACGAGGUGGAACAGAGAGCAAGAGCGCAGCAAGAGACGGAAACACUUGAAAGGUUGAAGGAGGAAAAACAGAAAGUGCGAGAGGAAAUAGAAAGAAACAAGGUGGAAACGCAACGAGAAAGAGAGAACCUAGAAAAAAUGAAAGCCCGUGUGAAAGACGAGAAGAACAUUGCAGAGAAAAUAUCAGAAGAGGCCAAGAUAAAGAAUGAGGACUUAACGGAAAUGGAGCGUAACCUUCAGGAAGAAAGGGAAGAGAUCGAGAGGAGCAAGCAAGUCACAAAGCAAGAGAAGGAAGAGAUCGUAGAGAUGAAGGCUGAACUCCAAAGACAAAUGACAGAAAUAGAGAACCGUGUGAAGGAGACAAACAGAGCAAAAUAUGAGGUGGAUCAGGCAAAGCUGGUCGUACAAAAAGUGGAGUCCCAGCUGAAAAAGCAAAGAGACGAGGCUGGAAGAACAAAAGAGGAAAUUGAGAAACAGAGAUAUGAAGCAGUGAAAGAAGAGCUUGAGCAACGAGCUGAAAUCCAACGAGAAAGAGAAAUGUUGGAGAAAGUAAGAGACGAGAUACGGAGAGCCGAAGAAGACUCCGAAAAAACACAGCUUCAGAGCGAAAAAGGGGACUUACAAAAGAAGAUGGAUGAAAUACAGCAAGAGAGGGAGAUGCUUGAGCAAAUUAAAACAGAGGUUUUGUCAGAAAGGGCCAUGUUGAAAAGACAAAUCCAUGAAACCGCAAGAGAAAGAGAGGACUUGGAAUUGCUUCGGUGUGAGACCCUGGAGAAAAAGCUGGAGCUUGAGAAAAAGAAGGAUGAAGCUGUCAAGGAAGAGCUUGAACUGAGAGCUGAAAUGCAGAGAGAUAGAGAGGAGAUAGAGAGAACCAAGAAGAAAAUAGAGAGGGAGUUAAAACAAGGCAGGGAUGCCACAAGUCUAGAGAGAGGCGAAGUGGAACUGAUGAAGGUUGAAGUACAGAACCAGCAUGAGGAAAUGACUAGAUCCAUUGAGAGGACAAGGCAAGCCAGAGGCGAAGUGGAACGGAUGAAGGUUGAAGUACAGAACCAGCAUGAGGAAAUGACUAGAUCCAUUGAGAGGACAAGGCAAGCCAGAGACGUGAUGGAACAGAUGAAGGAUGAAAUUCAGAGAGAAAAACAACUUUUGGAGAGAAUAAGGGAAGAAACAAUAAGAGAGAAAGAACCCUAUGAAACGGUCAAGGAUGAGCUAAGCAGAGUAAAAGAAGAGAUGGAAAAACUCUGGGACGAGGUACAGAGGGACGAGCAGGAAGAGAGAGCCAAACUGCAUCGAGAUAAUGUGGAGCUGAAUAAGAGAAUGGAGGAAAUUAAGACAGAGAUUAACCAGAUAGAAACAAUUAAAUUUGACCUAGAGAGACAGAGAGAUGAGAUUGAAGCAAGGAUGGAGAAGACAAUGAGAGAGAUGGACAAGCUGGAACAAACAAAGGCUGAAAUACAAAGACAGAAAGAGGACAUUGAAAACAAGAUGACAGAAACAAAGAGUGAGAAAGAGGAGAUGGAAAGGAUCAAAUCUGAGAUACAGAAGCAGAAAGAGGAAAUUGAAAACAAAAUGCAACAAGCAGAGACAGAAAUGGAUGAGCUG
ensembl:lncRNA